rnacentral:misc_RNA from 1 species
CUGAAUGAUCAUCCUUGAUCAUCUUAACCCUCAAACCACUGUGGAACACAAGAUGUGCUUCGGCGCCAUCGGCGCCGCUUUUAUGCUCCAUCAAUGUCAUUUUUGUCUGAAACAAUCAAAAUGUCA